rnacentral:rRNA from 1 species
CACGUAGGGGGCAAGCGUUGUCCGGAUUUAUUGGGCGUAAAGAGCUCGUAGGUGGCUAAGUAAGUCGGAUGUUAAAUCCCCAGGCUCAACCUGGGACACCACCCGAUACUGCUUUGGCUAGAGUCCGGUAGGGGAGCAUGGAAUUCCUGGUGUAGCGGUGAAAUGCGCAGAUAUCAGGAAGAACACCCGUGGCGAAAGCGGCUCUCUGGGACGGUACUGACGCUGAGACGCGAAAGCGUGGGGAGCGAACAGG